rfam:Albugo candida, Ac Nc2, WGS project CAIX01000000 data, contig: AcNc2_CONTIG_1699_length_1326
GACAGCUUGGCCGAGUGGUUAAGGCGAUAGACUAGAAAUCUAUUGGGGUGACCCGCGUGAGUUCAACUCUCACAGCUGUCG